GCCAGAGGCUGCAGGCAAUUGUCCCCCUCCUGUCACCUGGAGUCACCUGGAAGGUGCCCCUUAUCAGAGGCCAGACAUGGGGAACCUGUGGUCUCCCAGAGUGACCUUGUGAUGGAGAAUCCUGGGAUUCUAAGGAAUAGUUGCAUACCUCAGUUUCUUCCAGUUAAACUGGGGUCUAGGCAAGGACUCUGGCCACGGAGAGUCACCUCUUCUCCAUUUGUCUCUGUUGCAGCAGGAGUAACUAUGACCUGGACUACAAGCUGUACAGGGAAGAUGUCCCCUACAGGUCGGUAGGUCUUACCCCUCGGUUCUCUGGGUAAACAGGUGGAGCUGGUUGGCCUGACUCCCUCUCUGUCCUGUCCCAGUGGGGCGUAUGAAUACCAAAGGAUCCCUCCACUCAUCAGUCACGUGCCUGUCAAGAUCCGGAGGACCCGGGUGGGCUUGGGGGUUAAGAGCAGCUUCAGUCCCCACAAGGGGGCCAGGAAGAGCCACCUGCCCAGAGAGCAAAUAAAGUGUGAGUACGGGGGCACAGCCCUUACCUACGGAGCUGGGGAAGAGCUGGGCAGACCUCAGCAGGCAGGCUGGGGAGCCCUGGCAGCAGAGCCCUCUGCCCUCCGGGCCUGGUGGGACCCCAGCUUUGGCCCCUCUCCAAACAGUCCAGACGGAGGAGCUGCACUCCAUCAGGGGGGAGCUAAGCCAGAUCAAAGCCCAGGUAGACCGUCUCCUGGAGAAUCUGGAGCACAUGGACCAGCAGAGGGACCAGCUUCCAGGUGGAACACCUCCAACUGGGGGCCCAGGCCACAUUCCCAGGUCGGAGGACAGUGAAGAAACCAGGGGUCCAGGCAGUAAGGGUUCCUCAUGCAGAAUCACUGAACUCCAGCAGGAGCCCAGGGGCCAGAGGGCCCAUCCCGAAGCAGACAGCUCUGAGGACAGCACAGACCCAGAGGAGACAGUUUCUGAAGGCCUCCCGGAAGUGACUGUGCAACCAGAGGCACCCAUUCUGGAAUGAGUGCGGUGAAAGUGGAGGCAAGGCUCAGCCAGACCAGCCAGGAGGCCUCCCCAUAACGGUGGCUUUUUC
rnacentral:lncRNA from 1 species